rnacentral:rRNA from 1 species
AUACGGAGGAUCCGAGCGUUAUCCGGAUUUAUUGGGUUUAAAGGGUGCGCAGGCGGCCAUUUAAGUCAGCGGUUAAAUCGUGGGGCUCAACCCCAUUCUGCCGUUGAUACUGGGUGGCUUGAUUGCGGUCGAGGUAGGCGGAAUUCGUUGUGUAGCGGUGAAAUGCAUAGAUAUGACGAAGAACACCGAUUGCGUAGGCAGCUGACCAGACCGCAAAUGACGCUCAUGCACGAAAGUGCGGGGAUCGAACAGGAUUAGAUACCCUGGUAGUCCGCACAGUAAACGAUGAAUACUUGUUUUCGGCGAUAUAAUGUCGGAGGCAAAGCGAAAGCGAUAAGUAUUCCACCUGGGGAGUACGCCGGCAACGGUGAAACUCAAAGGAAUUGACGGGG